rnacentral:rRNA from 1 species
CGUAGACGGUUUUGUAAGUCAGAUGUGAAAUCCCUGGGCUCCAACCUGGGAACUGCAUUUGAAACUGCCAUGGCUAGAGUAUGGAAGGAGGGAAGUGGAAUUUCCGGUGUAGCGGUGAAAUGCGUAGAUAUCGGAAGGAACACCAGUGGCGAAAGCGACUUCCUGGUCCAAUACUGACGUUCAUGUGCGAAAGCGUGGGGGAGCAAACAGGAUUAGAUACCCUGGUAGUCCACGCCAUAAACGAUGACAACUAGAUGUUGGGAGGGUCUGCCUCUCGGUGUCGCAGCUAACGCGUUAAGUUGUCCGCCUGGGGAGUACGGCCGCAAGGUUGAA